GACUCAGUGGUGUAGUGGUAAGCAUGCCUACUUGGAUUACAUGAUCAUCACAUUCAGUAGGAGAUCCUCGUUCAACUCGGGGUUGAGUCA